CUUUUUUUUUUUUUUUUUUUUUUUUUUUGUCUUUUCUAGGGCAGCACCGGCAGCAUAUGGAGGUUCCCAGGCUAAGGGUCUAAUCAGAGCUAUAGCUGCCAGCCUACACCAGAGCCACAGCAAUGCCAGAUCUGAGCCAUGUCUGCAACCCACACCACAGCUCAUGGCAACACUGGAUCCUUAACCCACUGAGUGAGGCCAGGGAUCGAAACCCCAACGUCAUGGUUCCUAAUCAGAUUCAUUUCCUCUGAGCCAUGAUGGGAACUCCUAAAAUAUCUUGAUUAGUACCUGAUCAUUACUCGGGGCAGACUCAAUUAUGUACAGUGCCUGUGGCGCAGGAUACAUUUUUAGGAGCUCACAAAAAUAUUCUUAUUUAUUUUAAAACCAAAUGAAAGAAAUGUAGUCCAGUGUGGACUGUAAUUGUCUUAAUACCAAUGUAGGGAUAACAGAAUUUUUAAUAGUUUUUAUGGAGGAAAGAGUUCAUGAAGCAAAAGUGCUUAGGGUCCAUGAAAAUCACAGUGUGGUCCAGCAAGUGUAUUUCUUAAAAAACAGCCAAAAUGAAAAUCAGGCUACAUAGAAGUAACACUUUGUCAGGACACAUAGAAGUAACACUUAGCAAAUGAACCACUCUGAAUUGUGGUUAAGUUCACUCAGGACAGAUGGCAUUAAGAUCUACUGCAAAGGGUGAAUUGUGUUGAAGUUGAAAAUGAUCAGCUACACAGUGGAAAAAAAAUUCACUUCACGGGGAGAAGAUAUUAAAGUCAUAUCUCAACCUAGCAACAAGAUAAAGGCAAUAAUGGACUUAGGAUUUGGCAGAUGUCCUCUGAUUGUGUUUUUGGUGCCCUGAGCUAUUCUCCUGCAGAUCAUUUAGCCUUUGCAUUUAACAAUAGCAUGUUAAAGUCAGAAUUUGAUAUGUAAUUCUACCAGCCAACAAUAGAAAGACUGGCCACAUGAAAGGAGGGAAUGAGAACUUUUUCAAAUUGUGCAGUAUUCUCUGUCAAGUACAUUUUAUUUUAUUUUAUUUUAUUUUUUGUUUUAUUUCAAUCCUUCAACCAAACCGUUUUAAGCCAAAAGGGAAGUUAUUGAAUCAUGCAACUCAAAAGACCAAGGCUAGUCUGUUGGCAGGCAUGGCUUGUUCAAGCUUUAAACAAAGUGGCCAGGAUCUAACUUCUCUCCAUCUCUCAGCUUGGCUUAUAUGUCCUCUGCGAGUUUCUCUCUUUCUCAGCCUACAUGAGAUGGCAAGAUAGGGACAAAAGUUUCAAAUGCAGAGGAAGAGAAAGAUUUUUUCCAUCAUUUCUAUAAAAUUCCUAGGAUUCAUCAUGUGGACCAGCUUGGAUGACAUGCUCCUUUUGGUCUCUGUGCCCUGUGCUACUGUUUGAGUCCUGGGUUAUAAAUUCCGCCCAGGGUAAGACUGAGGGAGAAAAAGAUUCCUUAGUGAAAAGUCAGGGUAAGUAAAAGCUAUCAACAAAACCACAACCUGAAAGAGAAUGGAUGUGUGUACAUGUAUAACAAUCAUUUUUGGAUGGCAGAAAUGAUCAGAACCUUGUAAAUCAACUAUACUUCAAUAAAACUUUGAAAAAGGAAAAUCAAAUCAAAACAAAACAAAACCACAACACUUGGAAGUCUGUGUGUGCCCCCAGGAAGACUGGAUAUAUAAGGCAUGGUCUCUCUUUGUAUUAGGGAAUCCAGCUCUGAAAUCAGAGUGCUUGGAUCCCUUCCUUGGGCAAGGGUUUUAACCAUUCUGUUCCCUAGUUUCCUCAUUGUGAAGUCAGAACAAUAACAGCAUUUUCCUCACACUGAAAUACAUGAGUCCAAAAAAAUACUAGGGAUAUAAUCAACAUUUAAUAAAAGCUAAAUUAGAUUGCUGCUAUGUUUAACUCUGAGGCACAGCAUGAAAUUUGCAAACCACCACUAUAAUUAUUAAAAUAUAUGAAAAUGUUCUAUAAUCAUAACAACAUAAACAUUAUUAUUGUUACACUCCGAAAGAGAUGAUUCUUUCAUAAAUAAAUUGUGAGGCAGACAUAGAGAAUAGACUUAUGGUUGCCAAGGGGGAGUGGCAAGGGAGUGGGAUGGACCAGGGAUUUGGAGUUAGUAGAUGCAAACUAUUACAUGUAGCAUGGAUAAUCAAUGAGGUUCUACUCUAUAACACAGGGAACUAUAUUCAAUCUCUUGGGAUAGACUAUGAUGGGGGAUAAUAUAAGAAAAGUAUUUAUGACUGGGUCAUUUUACUGUAGAGCCGAAAUUGUCACAACAUUGUAAAUGAAGUAUAUUUUAAUAAAAAAUAAAUAUUAAAGUAAAUAAAUAGAGGAAAAAGAGAUGGGGGAAAACCAUUUUUAAAACUUAGGCAGGAAGUUCCCAUCGUGGUGCAGCAAAAGUGAAUGCAACUAGGAACCAUGAAGUUGUGGGUUCCAUCCCUGGCCUCGCUCAUGGGUUAAGGAUCCGGCAUUGCUGUGAGCUGUGGUGUAGUUGGCAGACUUGGCUCAGAUCCCUUGUUGCUGUGGCUCUGGUAUAGUCUGGCAGCUAUAGCUCCAAUUCUACCCCUAGCCUGAGAACUUCCAUAUGCUGGGGGUGUGGCCCUAAAAAGACCAAAAAAAAAAAGGUGGGUAGCAAAAUAUGCUUUUUUUUUCAAAUGAACUCUGCUACAGAAGUUCGGUAUCUGAAACAGAUAUAAGCACAGCUACACAGUUUGAAAGGAAAGAUUAAAAGACAGCAGUGACUCUUCCCCCACCAGAGAGGUAUGCAGUGAGGAUGGAGUUAAUUAUCCCCUUUGAGGUCUCCAAGUUCCUGGUAACACCGGAUAAAAGCCAGUGAACUUCAUGAUGAUUAUGAUGAUGACAAUGAUGAUAAUAUUACAAAUAGUUUAUGGAGUAUUUACUAUUAUUGGGCACCAUUAGGAACACUGUGCACAUGGUGUACAUUCAUACCAUCUCCUCACUAACCUAGGAGGGAGAUGGGAUUUUCAUACCCAUGCUAUAGAUGAACAAACUGAGGCCUAGAGAGAUUCUCUGUCCAGUAUCACAUAGCUGGCAGUGCACAGGGCCAUGGAA
rnacentral:lncRNA from 1 species